rnacentral:rRNA from 1 species
GAUGAACGCUGGCGGCGUGCCUAAUACAUGCAAGUCGAGCGAACGGACGAGAAGCUUGCUUCUCUGAUGUUAGCGGCGGACGGGUGAGUAACACGUGGAUAACCUACCUAUAAGACUGGGAUAACUUCGGGAAACCGGAGCUAAUACCGGAUGAUAUUUUGAACCGCAUGGUUCAAAAGUGAAAGACGGUCUUGCUGUCACUUAUAGAUGGAUCCGCGCUGCAUUAGCUAGUUGGUAAGGUAACGGCUUACCAAGGCAACGAUGCAUAGCCGACGUGAGAGGGUGGUCGGCCACACUGGAACUGAGACGCGGUCCAGGCUCCUACGGGAGGCAGCAGUAGGGAAUCUUCCGCAAUGGGCGAAAGCCUGACGGAGCAACGCCGCGUGAGUGAUGAAGGUCUUCGGAUCGUAAAACUCUGUUAUUAGGGAAGAACAUAUGUGUAAGUAACUGUGCACAGCUUGACGGUACCUAAUCAGAAAGCCACGGCUAACUACGUG